rnacentral:lncRNA from 1 species
CUCAUUUCAUUAUUUUAAUGAAAUUGAAGUUCUAGAAAAAUUUUAACUUUAUAAUAGUCCUAUUAUAUGAAUCUUAGAAAAUAUUUUUUUAUAGUUCAUAGAUCUAGACCAAAAGAAAAAAGAUCUCUAAUGGGAACUUUAAGAAGAAGAUUAAGUUUACGAAAGACUAGAUCAAAAUCUAUGGAACAGAAAGCUGAUAAAGAUGAAACUAGACAUCCAAGUAGUCGUAGUGUUUCAGCAGAUCGUUCUCGAUCAAUGCCAGGAUCAAGAGAGACAUCAUCGUUAAGAUCAUCUGUUGAAUCUCUGUAGUCUGACAAUUCCAAUAGUCUGACACACUGCAAGCCUCCAUGC